CUUCGGAAGAGCAGUCAGUGCUCUUACCUGCUGAGCCACCUCUCCAGCCCCGAGAAAUUUCUUUAUGAUGUAUUGGUUAAUACCUAUUUUAUAUGUAUAUAUAUCUGGGAUCAUGAAAACUAUUAGGUGAAGAGGGGAAAAGUAGCCCAGAGUUAGGUUAUCUUGUCCUGUAGUACUGUUCCUUGGACACUAUGGCAUUCUAGCACAUGGUAUGAUUUAUCUUGUAAACAGAAGCCCCAGCAGGGGACAGGAGCUCUACCGGAGUCACAAAAGGCAGCUGUAUGGCUGAGCUACAAGCCCCAGUGAGAACUUCUUUGCUUUCUUUUUACUUGUGUGAUCAAGAAGUUAACUCAUAAAAGACUAGUGCUUAUUUUAUCUACAUUUUUUUUAAAUUCUCACUACCCUUUCUGGUUUUUUGAAUCUUCUUUUGAUAUUCAAGCACCUACAUUCUUGGUUCAAGUCCUCAGAGACAGGUUGUCCUUGCUAGUUUUAUGCUGACUUGACCCAAGCUAAACUCAUCUGAGAAGAAGGAGCUUCAAUUGAAAAUGAAAAUACCUUUGUACAAUCUGGCCUUCUUAGGCAGGCAAGCCAGUCAGGCAUUUUCUUAAUUAGAGGUUAAUGGGCUGCCAGGGGUCUGGGGGUGGUCCUUUCAAUAAAGAAAGCAGGCUGAGCAAGCUCUGAGGAGCAAACCAAUAAGCAGCACCCUCCAUGGCUCCUGCCUCCAUGGUUUCUGCAUUGGCAUCCCUCUGUGGACUAUAAUUUAGGCUAUGUGAAUAAAAAACCCUGUUCUUUCCCAAGCUGCUUUGAUCAUGGUGUUUCGUCAUACCAGCAGUAACCCAAACUAGGCAGGAAUAGGAUAUUAUUGUAACAACUGUCCAUGUCCUUUAGGGAGGGACUUUGGAGCAUUGGGAAGUCAGCCCAUGAGCAGAGUGGCCAUGGUGGCAGAGAUGGAGGUUAUGCAUGGACUCAGUAAUGUGAACUUCCACUCACUAAGGCUGGCCUGACUACAGAUGGCUGCUGAGCUCCAGAUCUACCAAGACCAGAGACUAGCACUGAAUCCCAAUAUGGCACCAUUCCCCAGGUUAGCCAGCUAGUGAUCUGGUGGCACGUUAGUUUCUCCAGGCCUAUCCUGGUCACUGCCUCAGCCAUGUGGUCCUUAGUGUGCCCCCCUCAAGUAUUCCACCUCAGUGGCCUUUAAAGCCCAGUGGCCAACAGGUGAGCAGUGUGUUGUUGAGAGCUCCCUAAGUACUGGAGACUGGACAGUAGGUGUGGCUGUGAGAAGAGUUGGUGAGCUUGCGAGUCGGACCCCUCACAAGUUUCCAUCACACAUCACAGCCUGUCGGGGACCUUCUGCUGAUGCCAUGCUUUUCUGAGCAGUCACUCACGGGCAGAAAGCCUCUGUUUUUUCCAUGUAUGUUUUUGCAUUUCAGCUUCCCCUCAGCCAUGGAGCCUUUGUAGUCACAUCAACCUACAAUAUCAUCCCUGCUUAUAUUUAGUUCCUUUAACAUUUAAAAAGUAAAUUCUGGCUAGGCUUGGUGGUGGACAUCUGAAGCCCUAGCACUUAGGAUACUAGGGCAAGAAGAUUGAGAGUUUGAGACUAGUCUGAGUUACAGAGUGAGAUUUUGUCUUUAAUAAGAUUGCUUUAUUCUGUUACUCUUCACUUUUAGGUCUAGAAAGUAACCAAGAUUUUCCCAGAAAGCAGAGGGUACGAAUACAGUCAGUCAUCUCUAUUUUUCCAGAGACAGCGCUCUGCUUGUCUACCUUACAGAAUAUCAUAUACUUUUUUUUUUUUUUUAGGUUUUUUGAGACAGGGUUUCUCUGCAUAGCCCUGGCUAUCCUGGAACUCACUUUGUAGACCAGGCUGUCCUCCAACUCAGAAAUCUGCCUGCCUCUGCCUCCCCAGUGCUGGGAUUAAAGGUGUGUGCCACCACGCCCAGUUCAUAUCCUUCUAAAUGUCUGUUAUUUUACACACGGGGUGUCCAGUUUGGGUUAUGCUUGCCCUGGUCGUUCCUUGGCUUUCUGAAAUGUGCUGUCCCUGGGAAAGGUUCAGAGGGCACUCUGUACAGUUGUCAUGACCAUAUGCUGCAUGUUCAUGCUGCUAACAUGGGGAUCUCGGGACUACUUUACCUUAAGAUUUACAGAGGGUUCAUGGAAAAAAUAAUUGUUUCAGCUGGCCAAAGUGGCACACAUUGUUAAUCUCGAGUGUAUUUCUCUGAGUUUGAAGCCAGCUUGGUAUACGUAGCAAGCUGCAGGACAGCCAGGAUGACAUAGAGAGUGCCUGUCUAAAACAAACAAACAAAGAAUUGUUCACAGUAUACAAAUAGUGUAUAUCCACUAUAGAAACCUAGAAAUUCUCCAUGGCCGCACCCACAGGUGGCUGCUGAAGUGGAUAGUCAUCCAGAUUUCUGGGGAGCCUUCUAGCUUUUUACAUCAUCACAUAUGGGAAUUAAAUGAAGUUAGAAAUUGUCUUAGGGUUUCUAUUGCUGUGGUAAAGCAGCGAAACUUAGGACAGCCAGGCUACACAGAGAAACCCUGUCUCGAAAACCCAGGACUCCCCACCCCAUACACACAAAGUAUUUUUGGUUUUAUAACUUUAAUUUCAAAUUUAUUUACUGUCUGGGGUGUGUGUGUGUGUGUGUGUGUGUGGUGUGGAGUUGGCUUUCAUCUUCCACCUCAGGUUCCAUGGAUCAAACUUAGGUCAUCAGGGUCACAUAGGAAGUAGUAUUACCUACUCUUUCACUGGCUCACUGUAGUUACGAGAUAGUUAGAAAUCACCAUGAAGGUGAAGGGAACCAAACCCAGGUCCUCUGUAAAACAACAAGUCCAUCUCUGUAGCUCUCCUCUGCACUCCAACCUCAAUUUUUUUUUUAAGGUUUAUUUUAUUUAUAUGAGUACUCUAUAGCUGUCUUCAGACAGACCAGAAGAGGUCAUCGGAUCCCAUUACAGAUGGUUGUGAGCCACCAUGUGGUUGCUGGGAAUUGAACUCAGGACAUUUAGAAGAGCAGUCAGUGUUCUUAACCGCUGAGCCAUUUCUCCAGCCCUCCAACCUCAAUUUUUAAAAAAAUAUCAUAAAAUAAUAGAAAUUCCUUAAGUAUAAUUAUCUAUAUAAACAUUGUUAAGCAAUAAAAGUGUUAUUUUAUGUAAAUUUUUACCUGUAAAGUAGAAUUUAUAAUUGUAUUAAAGAAUUAAAAAGAUAAUCUUAGGAAUUUUAUAUCAAGUCUUGCUGAGAACAUAAUAUCUUAAAACUUUACUUCUGCUGGGCGUGGUGGCACACGCCUUUAAUCCCAGCACUUGGGAGGCAGAGGCAGGCGGAUUUCUGAGUUCGAGGCCAGCCUGGUCUACAAAGUGAGUGCCAGGACAGCCAGGGCUACACAAAGAAACCCUGUCUCGAAAAACAAAAAAAAAAACAAAGAAAACAAAAAAAAAAAAACCUUCUUACCUACUUAAAGAAGUCACAUUUAGACUGGAGAGAUGACUCAGCAACUAAGAGCUCUGACUGUUCUUCCAGAGGUCAGAGUUCAAUUCCCACAACCACCUGGUGGCUCACAACCAUCUGUAAUGGGAUCUGAGGUGGGAAGACAUACCCUAAAUCUGGAUUGUUUGAAGUCAGAAAACCCACUUUCAGUCUGGGCUACACCCUCUGGUGGCAGAUAUGGGAUGGAAGCUUUCCCUUUUUGCCUGCUUGCCCCCACUCUUGCUGUCUGUCCUGCUGCUGAAGCAUGUCCUUCACUGGGAUCAGAACUACAUCCUCAGGAUUCCAGCAUGGACUAAAGAGCACCCGAGACGUUCAGUACAGACGGCCUUUUGUACUGAAUAGUUAACUGGAUUCUUCGCCUUUCCAUCUGGAGAUUGUUGGACUAGCUGGAUCAGUCUGUAAGCAUCUCUUAGUAUUUCCCCGUGUGUGUGUGUGUGUGUGUGUGUGUGUGUGUGUGUGUGUGUGUGUGUGUGUGUGUGUGUGAGUGAGACCUGCUGAGUGUGACCUGCUGAUUAGGACAGGGUUACUUAUAGGAACAGUAACUGGUGGGGGUUGUUUACAGAAGCAUGUGCUACACUGCUGGAGAAAAUGUCUCUUCAAUCUUCAAUUUAUUGGUGAAUAAAUUCUCAAGGGAUUGGGGCGACAUGAGUCCAUCCUCCUUCCCUCCUGGGGUGUUGAAAGACUCAGUCUUAUAGAGAUCUUGCACAGAUAGUCACAUGUGCUGUGAGGACAGCUACUAUGUCAUGCCUGCAAGUCCGAAUUCCACACUGCUCCUCUUUCCCCACUUCCUCUGCCCCAUACAUCCUUCCCACCCUUCUUCCUUGAUUGUCCCUCAGUCUUGGUGUGUGUUAUAGAUAUCCCAUUUAAGGCUGGCAUUCAGUAGUCAUUUAACUCUUGUACUUUUUUGUUUGGUUGGUUUGGUUUGGUUUGGUUUGGUUUGGUUUUUGGUUUUUCGAGACAGGGCUUCUCUGUGUAGCCCUGACUGUGUUGGCUCUCACUCUGUGGACCAGACUGGCCUUGAACUCAGAAAUCCACCUGCCUCUGCCUCCCAAGUGCUGGAAUUAGAGGCGUGUGCCACCACUGCCAGCUUAACUCUUGUACUUUGACCAGUUAUGAAUCUCUACAUUUAUUUCUGACCAUUGGGGGAAAAAAAGCUUCUCUCAGCAACACUGACAGCAGCACUAUUCUGUGGACAUAAACAGUUACUUAGAAGGUGAUUUGACAGGAACAGAAUUCCAGUUAACAAAACAACAGCAGUAGCCUCUGCACUAGUUUCUAUGACCUCCCUAGCCACUGGGCUUCUGACUAUGUUUAAGGAAUUAAAUAUGAGCUUCCUCCUGUGGAGCGGGCAUCAAAUCCAGUUAGAAAUGAGUUGGUUACACCGACAACAGUUUGCCAUCUUUGCACUGCUAGACCCCUCUUGCCUGACCAGUUAGCAUUGUUACACCUACACCGGCAGCUGAGGAAGGCUGCUGAUUACAGCUCUCCCCAGCGCCUACACAGCCCUUCCAGUGCUAGGAGGACCGGCCAGUUCUGCCUUGAUUUCUCUGUUAUGAGAGCAAGGCCUAAGGUAUCUUCUCUAAUAAGACCUUACCGACUAGUUCUAGUAGACAUCCGAAAGCUGUUGCAAUCGUCUUUAUUGGAAGGCCUUAGGGACCUCUCUGGCCAUCAGAUUGUAGGGAAGUAGCCUACUCCUGGAACUAGAAUAUUCAUUUAAUGCCUACAUCUUCUGUGAGCAGCUUUAUCCACCCACAGGGGAUAUCUCUGUUCAAACUAUUUUUUAAAUUUUGCUUUUGAUUAUCUUACCACGUAAAAUAAUAUGUUAUAGACUGAACAUUUGGGUCCUUUAAAAGAAUGUUGACACUGUGAAUGAUGAUAUUUCAAGAUGGGAACUUGAGAGGUAAUCAGGUCACCAAGGUAGAGCCCGUAUGAAUGGAAUCCAUACCUGUGUAAGAAGAGACAUGAAAGAGUGCUUUCUCUCUUCUGCUCAUGUGUGUGGAGCUAUAGGAAGAUUCCAGUCUUUGAACCAGGAAGGAGUUCUCAUUAUAUAGUAUGUCUACUGUAACCUUGGUUUUAAAUUUUCAGCCUCCAAAACCAUGAGGCAAAUGUAAGUUAUACAGCAUGUAUACAUACAUACACACACACACACACAUACACACACACACACAUAUAUAUAUACACAUACAUACAUACAUACAUACAUACAUACAUACAUACUAUAACAACCUGAGCUCUCACCUCAGUUUUGAAGAGAUAAAUAAACUAGCUUCUGCUUUUUCAGGGGUGGGGUGAGGGCUGUUUGUUUGUUUGUUUGUUUUAUUCUCCCUCCCCACACCUCACCUCCAGACAGGAUUUUUUCUAUGUAAUAUCUCUGGCUAUACUGGAACUAGCUUUGUAUACCAGGCUGGUCUUCAAACUCACAGAGAUCCUCCUGCCUCUGCUAGGAUUAAAGACAUGAACCACCACUGCCCAGCUUCCUAGCUUCUACUCUUAUCCAAGAUCACACAACUAAUAUGCAGACAUACAAGGUUUCUCAUCCAAAUCACCUUUUUUGUGAUGCCUUCUAGAUCUUUUGUCAUCCCUUAUGCUGAUUUCAUAGUAGCAAUUGCUACGGUUAUUUUUCAGUGGCUAUCUGAAUAUCUGUGUUUGUGUGUGAAUAUCUGAGUACUUGCAAUGUUUUUCUUCAAAGCAUUUGUUCAAGGGUUGGCUGUCUUAAAGAGGUUCUUACAUCAGAAUAAGCUGAUUAUAACCUGGUUGAAAUUUAGGACACGCCAUACAUAUGGAGGCCAGUGUGUGGGUAUGUAUAGCUUGCAUAUAGCUCCCUGCCCUGUAACCUCUGUAUCACCAGGCCAUCCUUGGCCAUGUUUAGACUUGCUUUCGUGGUCUCCCAGCCUUAUCUGGUAAGCAGGGCUUGGGUUUCAAUCCCGAAGUUACAUGCUUUGCUGUCAGCAUGUGUUAUUCAAGGAUUCUCCCGAGACUGUACUAGGGCUCUGGCCUCCUAUCCUGCAGGCAUCUAUACCACCUGGCUUUUACUGGCUACAGGCCAUUGCUGCGGUUUGGAUUUAGUUUUCUUAAUUUUCCUGAAAAGAAGUACCUCACCCCCACCUUUUUUUUUAAACUUUAUUAGAAUCUUAAGUUUAUUUUGCAUGUAUAUUUUUGUCUCCUCACCACAUAUAUGUCUGACCAUCACGUGACUAUGUCCUAUCAUAAUAUUCCAUAUACACUUAAAACCAGCUAUGGAAAUUUGAAUGUGUUUGUAGAGUCAAAACACUUAUACAUACAAAAUAAAAAAUAGAUGUUUAAAAAAGAAUAAAAAUGUUUAAGCUCUAUUUUCCUCUUUGUUGUGCCACAUAAUGCUCUUUUUCGUUGAAGCUGAUUUUCUGCUUUUCAGGAAGGCAUUGGUAGUUGGGAAUUUGAGAGGAGUGUUUAGUUGCUCUUCCUUUACCCAUGUGCUUUGAGAUGGGUCCCCAUGCUGCAGCGAGUGGUAGAAAACAGCAGGGUCCCAGCAGGGUGAGCUGGCAGGGUACACAUACCAAUGGCAGGCUCUGUUUUCAUGCCCAUGUACUCACACAUCUAUUCAUAAAGAAGAAAUAAGGGGAUCACACAAUGCCAGUUUCCCUUAGAAAGCUUUCUGUGAGCCAAACUGCCUUUGGGCUCUUCUUUUUCUCUAAAUAGAAAGAUAAGAAAUAAAAGGAAAUCCUGUGUUAAUUGUCUAGAUCUUAAACAUGAAUUAAUAAGCUGUUUCUCUGUUUCCCCGUGUAUGACAUGCUGUAUGCAAAUGCACUGAGAAAACAAGGUUGUCCUAAAACUAAUGGUGUAAACCUUCUUGGUACACCCUUGUUCUUGCUCAGUGGGGAGACGUUAGUGAUGUCAUUCACUGAUGGUAGUGGUUCACUACCAUCUGCACUUCUCUUCUCACCUCAGGCUCUGUGAGACUAGUAGUUUCUCCGCUAGGAAGGUGAGAUAUCAGGGUCUGUGCCUCAGGCCCAUUGCUUCACUUGUGAGAGCCAUUGACAGGCUGAUAAGUCUGGGGGUGCAGGUUGGUACCCAGAGACCCUCUAUGAAGCUGCUUUCACAUUGUAAGACUCCUGGUUGUGUAGAGCUUCUGUUCUCCAUUAUAUUGCUAUAGUCGUGCUAGCAACUUAGAGCUUUGCAGGAAUUGCCACAGUGCUUUGCUCUCAUGCCCCAGAUUUGAGGUCUUCAUUUCAAGCUAAAAAUGUCAAGGCUGCCCAGUGCAAGGGUAUUCUUUAGAGUCUGUCCAUUUAGUUACUCAUGGUCUAGUCAGGAGAAGUAUAGUACACUACACUAGGAUCUUAAACUGGGAUAGUUAACAGAAAUAACCAUUAACUAAUUAUAAAAAUUGACUGAAAGGCUGGGAGGAGGGAGCCAUGCUAAGGAACAGGAGUUGUGCUGAGCAGCCACCCCUUAGAGCUGAGGAAAAGAAAACUCAGUGAGCCACAAACUUGGAAAGGGCUCUUUCCCCAAGGCUGAGGUUCAGACCACUGGAUGAUGGCGAAGUUCAGUGCCAUCAAAGGAACAGGUUGGCAGGCCAGGGCUGAAGUGCCAGUGAAUUUCAUGGGGCAGUAGAAGUCACUGGCCAUCCUACACACUGCUGGCAAGAAUUCCGGAAGUCUCAGACUCCCAUUCUCCUCAGUGCCCUGCCCCAGCACCACAGAAUAUGGACGAGGAACAUGGGGUUGGGGUUAGAGGCAAUAAAGAAAUAAUCGUCUUAUGGAUAAUUAACAGCUUUAAUUGGAAUCUUAAGUUAAAUUAUUUCCUUGAGUAGUAUUGUCAGACUUGCCAUAGAAAAAAGACACACAUGGAGACUUAGUAAUAAAAGCUUAGCCACUAUAGCAAGGCUACCUCCCAGCCAGCUCAAAUCACUUAAUUAACCUGCCAAUUCUAAUUCAUGUCUGCCACGUGGCCACUACUUCUUUUCCACUUCCUCAGUAUGUCCAACCUUGACAACGUCACUCUGGCAAAUCUUGCUUCAGAUUCUUCUCCCAGAGACCCUCUCUCAGCCCUGAAGUAUUGCCUUCUACUUCCUGCCCAGCUAUUGGCCAUCAUAUCUUUAUUAAAGCCAAUCAGAGUAUGUCUUAGGCUGGUUAGGAAGAACAGAAAUACACUUUCACAAAGUAUGCACCAAUAGAAUAGUUUAAUAUAACUCUUAUCUAAACAUUUAAAAUAUUGGUUGGGUCCACUGACAAGCAAGCUUGUGUUUGCCUGUGUAGCAUGAUUGAGAGUAAUACGUGUCUGUGGAUCCCUUUGACUUUGUUGUCUGUCUGUUUGCUUGAUUGGUUUUGUCGGAGCCGUUUUUCCUAUUUAACCCAGGCUGGCUGGUACUUAAGAGUCCUCCUGUCUUGGUCUCCUAAGUGCUGAGAUUAGAGGUAUGCAUCACCACCUCUGUCUUCAGUCAGUCUCUUGUGUCUCAAGAGUGUAGAGUGCAUGUAGUCAGCCAUGUUUCCUCAGCCAUGUUGAGGCCUUCAGCAGAACUGGAAGCACCCAUUCAUAUCAUCCAGGGAUCAUGAGGACCUAAGUAAGACUUGAUGUUGCAAGCUGUGAGACUGAAGGUAGCUGUCCACAAGGCUGGUGACCUUUCAGUGAAUCUUGAAUGAAUAAAGCAACAGUUGCCUGUAAGAUCUCAAGAUUAUUUUAACUGUGCUAUAUAACAUAUUAUAGAGGGCAAUUUGAGGAUGACAUAAAUCUGAGACAAGAAACAAAUAUUAAGUAAUACAGCUAAUAGUACAGAUCAGAUUUUGUUACAGGAGCAGCGUGGCUUGAGCUAUAAAUGUGUGUAUGAGGUAAACAGGCCAGAGGACAAAAUCAAGCUGUGUGGGAAGAAUUUUCCCACAGAUCCGAGACAACGGAUAAAGAAGUGCUUUGUUAACGCAGCUUUUGUGACCGUUUCUAUCUAGACAGAAUCUUUACUGGCACUUUUGUAGAUGUAGAGCUUUGAACAAUAUACUUUAUGUCUGAGCUGGAAAGGGACUUCCUUGAAUGCCAGGACCAACUGAAUGAUGAAACCCUGGACAAAAUGUGUUGCUUCUUACCCUGUAGUUCCCGUGUUGUAGUCUGGUCUGGGUGGCUGUAUUGCAAAGUGGUUUGCCACUGUGACAACCAGUUUCUCUUCGUCUGCAUGUCUGUGAAUGAUGUCAGUUCUUUUCUUGGUGGAUGAACGGCCUUUUUACUUCGUCUCAUGGAGAGUCUUGUUUCACCUGAUCAUUGCUUUGGGGAUGGAUAGUUACUGCCUAACUGUAACUGAAUUUCCUUAAUUUUAGGAACAGAAGGUAAACUUUGAAUAUAGAGUAUAUGAGAAGGUAAAAAUGGGUACAUGGGGGCUGGAAAGGUGACUCAGUGGAUGUAAAAGCACUUAACCAGACAGGCAAAAUAACCCAAGUUCAGAUCUCUAGAACCAGUGUCAAAGCCUUCCCCGUAGUUCUUGUCUGCAACCCUAGCACUCUACAGUGAGGCAUUAGGCAGAGACAGGAGAAUCCCCUGGAGUAUAAACCACAGCAGCAAAACAGCAUCCUGCCUCAAUCAAGGGGUGCAAGGGUGACUCCCAGGGCUUUUCACUGCACACAGAAUGGACAUGUAUAUAUAUAACAGAUGUGUAGAGCAGUAAAUACAGAGCUUAUCAUAACACUUAAUAAGCUAUACUUCAGGUCAUGAGGUGCCUGGAAGAAUUAAGGGGAAUGUGUCUAUUAAACUUAUUUGGAAAGUAAUGCUGAAAAAUAUUCUGAAAGUUUUGUAUCUUUAAAAUAUAUGUUAGGCUAGAGAGAUGGCUUUGUGGUUAGGAAAACUUGUUGCUCUUGCUGGGAGACCUGAAUUUGGAUCCUAGUGCCCACAAAGUGGAUAACAAUCAAGUUUAACUCUAGUUCCAGGGAAUCUGAGACCCUCUUCUAAUUUCCAUGGAGACCAGGUACACAAAUCUUACAUAUACAUGCAUAAAAUAAAAAAUAUAAAAAUCACUUAUACACAUAAAAAUUUAAAAAUCUGUAAAAAUUAAAGCACAUUAUGAUAAAGAUAAAAUAUUUUCGUGUUUUAUAUUUUUCCCUAAUGCUGGAGAUCUAAUCCAGGGCCUUGCACAUAGUAGGCAAGCAUUCUAGCACUAAGCCACAUCUGCAGCACCUACUGUGCAUAUGUGUAGGUAGGAGGAGGAAGUAGUUAUUAAAUGCCAUUUUGACUACAUGCAUCCAUCAUAUAAUCAAGGGAUCUCAAGGCCUGGCUUGGCUUACCCUCUCAGCAGACCCUCAGUGAAAAGAUAGUUGCACACUUGCAACAUCCCCGGAAGGGUACACGCCUUUGGUGUGUGUGCAGGCAGAUGCUUUCUGAUGCCCCCAUGCUGUUCUCUGGGUGAAGUUGGUAUACAUUGGAUUUUGGCUUGGAGAGCUGUCCCUAACAUGGUACAGAUCCUAUUUCCUGUUAUUUCAUUAAAUGUCCAUAAAACCCUUUCAGGCUGGCUUAGUUAGGGUUUCUAUGGCAAUGAUAAAAAGCCAUGACUAAAAGUAACUUGGGAAAGAAAGAGUUUAUUUCUUUUACAUGCCCACACCACAGUCCAUCAUUGAAGGAAGUCAGGGCAAGAGUUCAAAGUAGGAACCUAGAAGCAGAAAUUGAAGCAGAGACAAUGGAGGAAUACUACUUUACUGGCUUGCUCCCCAUGGCUUACUCAAAGCUGCUUUCUUAUACAACUCAGGACCACCUCUCCAGGGGUGGCACUGCCCAUAAUAAGAUGAGUCCACCCACAUUAGUUAUUAAUGAUUAAUCAAGAAAAUACCCCAGUGCUUGCUCAAAGACCUUCCCAAAAUGGCUCUAGCUUGUGUCAAGUGGACAAGAAACUAACCAGCAACAGGAUAAGAAUAGCAUUUAAUCUUCAAACAAACAAAACCAAGACUCAAAAUAACCACCCAAUAGGAACCAAGAAUCUAGUUUCAAAGCCCGUCACAUGAAUAUACAGUGAAACUUGCUCUUGUUAAACACAGGGGCCAGACAAUACCCAGGGAACACCCUGUCAUCAGGGGGCUAACCAGCUCUCAGGAAGGAUGGCUGCUGCUAGUUUGGAGAUGGCUGAGAGCACACCCAUGAGUCAGAGGACCAGGGAGAGAGCCUGCUUUAUUGAUUUUUUAAUUGUCUUUACCAGAUGUUUGGUUCAGAUGCAAGGCAUCUCCCAAACAGGCUCAUUUGUUAGAGGCUUGGUCCCCAGCAGACGGCAAUACAGAAAGGUGAUUUGAUUAUGAAAGUGCCUACUUUUAAAUGGACUAAUUCAUUGGUUGGUUCAUAGCUGUUUUAUGUUAUUUGGAAAUAAAACCUAAUUGUAGGAAGUUGGGUAACUGGGCAUGCCUUUGAAGGGUGUAUCUUGUUCCUAUGCCUGCCUUCCUCAUUUCCUGUCUCCACGAGCCACGUUGGUCCUGCCUCAUCAUGCAGACCCAAAAACAACACUGUCAAGUGACCGUCUCUGAAAUCUGAAAAUCUGAGACCAAAGUACAAAGCGGCCAACUUAGGACUUUGAACAUGCUAGACAAGCACUGACCCUCUGAGACAUACCCCAGCUGGCUACCUUUGCAUCUUCUUUGAAAAAUGUCUACUUAUGGCCUCUUGUUGUUUGGUCUGGGGUUUCUUGCUUUAGAGUUGUGCAGGUUGCUUAUAUAUUUUGAAGAAUCACUUCUUGUCACAUGGUUUGCCUCAUUCUCUCAUACUCAACAUGGUAAAUUUUCUUUUUGUUCAUAAUUUCCUCUGCUGGGCCCAAGUGUUUCAAAUGGUGUAGUCCCACUUGUUUGUUUUUGCUUUUGGAAUGAGAGCCAAAUAAAUCAAGGCCAGUGUUAAGCAGCCUUCUCUCUGUGUUUAUUUCCAGGAGGUUUUGUAGGGUUUUGUGGAGUGGGAGAAGCUGGGAGGCUGGCCUGACACUCACUCUAAACCAUGCCAGCUUUGAAUUGGUAGUAAGCAUCUUAUCUCUGCCUCCAUAGGCCAGCUUUAAAAUGUGUACUGCGAUCUGGGUACAUUAUACUAGACCUUGCUUCUAAAAGUUUUAUGUUUCUAAGUUAGAUAUGUUGUCUUUGAUCAAUUUUGAAUUGACUUCUAUAUGUGAUAUUAGGUAAGGGUCCAGUUUCUUUCUUUAGCAUGUGGUUAUUCUAUUUUCCCAGUGCCAUUUAUUAAAGGCUUUAUUCUUUCCUAUUGUGUCUUCUUGACAAAAAUUAGUUGGCUUAAUUGCUUAUUUUUAUUCUGGGCUAUCUACAUUGCUGGUUUGUGUAUAGCUUAAUGCUGGUUCUAUAUUGCUUUGAUCAUGUGGCUUUAUAAUGCCAUUUAAAAUCUGGAUGUAUGAUGUGCCCAACUUUAUCUUUAUUGUCAAGAUUGUUUGGGUAAUAUGAGCUGUUUUAUGGAUAGACACAAAUUCUGGAAUUUUUUCCUAUUUAUAUGAAAAGAUCCGUUAGAAUAUUUGUAGGAAUUGAAUUGAAUUGGUAAGGCCCAAUUAUAUACUGACUAUAAGAAACAUGCCAUUUAAAUUCAGAGAUGAUUAAAGGCCAAAAUGUGGUAUGCCAUGAAAAUGUUAGCUAGAAGAAAGAAAAGAGGCUAUUCUUACCAAAGUAAACUGUCUGUAGGAAAACAGAAAGUCAUUAUAUGAUGCUGGAAGGGUCAGGUCCACCUGGAAGUGUCACUAAAUAUACAUGUACUCAUCAUCAGAGCACCUGCCUCCACAGCGAAACCGAGACCAUGUGAGAGCAGGAAACCAAGAACAGGAUGCAGCUGGAGACUUCAACACCUUACCUCCAAUAAUAGUCAUAAAGUCAAUCAAUCAAGCAGCAGCAGAUACAGUAUACAGCAUUAUAGACUCAGCUUGUUCCAGAUAACUCACUGUUUUGUUUCUAAAAAUGUAGUUACUUCUUCUAGUCUAUUCUCAAAUUAUAGUCAAGUGUUCCUCAUGUGUCAUCCAAGCACCAAGUGGCAGCAUCUAAAAGACCACUGCAAGCUCAAGGCCGGCCUAGUCUACUUAAGGAAGUCCAGGCUAGCCAUGUAAGUUAUGCAGUGUGGGACCCUGCUUCACCACCCCCUGCAUAAAACCCUGCAGUUAUUAUAUUAGGCCGAGCAUUUAGCUUAGUGAUAGAAUGCCUGCCUGGUA